GACGAACGCUUGCGGCGUGCCUAAGAAAUGCAAGUCGAGCGGGGAGUAAGAUUUCGGUUUUACUUCUAGCGGCGAACGGUCGCGUAACACGUAAGCAACCUGCCCCGAAGACCGGGACAACAUCUCGAAAGGGGUGCUAAUACCGGAUGUGGCCAUUUGGUGGCAUCACCGAAUGAUUAAAUCCAGCAAUGGGCUUCGGGAGGGGCUUGCGGCCUAUCAGCUAGUUGGUGGGGUAACGGCCUACCAAGGGGACGACGGGUAGCUGGUCUGAGAGGACGGCCAGCCGGACUGGGACUGAGACACGGCCCAGACUCCUACGGGGGGCAGCAAUUAGGAAUCUUGCGCAAUGGGCGAAAGCCUGACGCAGCGACGCCGCGUGGAGGAGGAAGUCCUUCGGGAUGUAAACUCCUUUUUCCAGGGAAGAAUACAAUUGACGGUACCUGGUGAAUAAGCCCCGGCUAACUACGUGCCAGCAGCCGCAGUAAGAC
rnacentral:rRNA from 1 species